UGGGGAAUAUUGCACAAUGGGGGAAGCCCUGAUGCAGCGACGCCGCGUGAAGGAAGAAGUAUCUCGGUAUGUAAACUUCUAUCAGCAGGGAAGAAAAUGACGGUACCUGACUAAGAAGCCCCGGCUAACUACGUGCCAGCAGCCGCGGUAAUACGUAGGGGGCAAGCGUUAUCCGGAUUUACUGGGUGUAAAGGGAGCGUAGACGGAAGAGCAAGUCUGAUGUGAAAGGCUGGGGCUUAACCCCAGGACUGCAUUGGAAACUGUUUUUCUAGAGUGCCGGAGAGGUAAGCGGAAUUCCUAGUGUAGCGGUGAAAUGCGUAGAUAUUAGGAGGAACACCAGUGGCGAAGGCGGCCACCUGGCACAUGACUGGCGCUGAGGUGCGAAAGCGUGGGUAUCGAACAGGAUUAGAUACCC
rnacentral:rRNA from 1 species